AAAAGGGAAAUCAAAAUCCCGCUCACUCCCCAAAAACAAUUUUGGUUACCUGCUUUCCUCCCUGUUCUUCUCAUCUCCGUCCCUUUUUACUCUCGAAGUUUGCUUCCAACAACAUUAAGUCAAUACACCUACACCAAUCACAUUUCUUUUUCCUUUUCAUUUCACUGCACUGAAUUCACCCAUCAUAUCUACUGCUUUUCUCUCGAUUGUUAGGGUUUCUUUUAAUUCUAGGCUUUCAAAGGAACGUAUAGUUUCAUUUUAAUUUUCCCCAAUUUCCUCUCUUCUCCUUUAAUCCCUAAAUUUUCAUCCCAAGUGCCCAACCCAUUGCCACCGAAGACACUGACCGGACCACCUGGUGCAUCGCCCUCGACUAACCCCUCUGCUGCGUCGCUGUCGCCGUCGGUCUCUACUGCCACAGCCGUCGUAAUGCAUUAGAUGCUUUUUACGGUUGGAAACAUGAAGGUUUGCCUCCUGUUAAAGUUCCUUCUGCUGCUCAAUGGAAAUUCAGAAGUAAACCGUUCCAGCAGGAUAUUGGACUAUGAUUGUGGAAGUGACAUGGUUGAGCAUGAUUCAGACGAGUUGUAUUUUCUUUUAAAGGAGCUGCUAGAAUUAGGCUUUUGUUCUAUGUCAUGCAUUAGCUAUUUUUGUUUGGGAAUUUAGAGACUACGAAACUUUGCAAAGGUUUAUUUUUGUGUCCUAGGAUAUUUAGGAUAGUGAUUGAUGAUGAUUUUGUUGUCAUUUUAAAUUGUAAUCAGAACCCAAGGGAAGAAAUUUCAGAGGGAAGCUCAGGCAUCCAUUGGGAGGAUUGCACACUGCGGCUUGAUGUCGCUGCGCUCACAUGAAAAGAACCAAUUCUUUUCUGUGAUGAGUGCUACUUAGAUUGUGGGACACCCGCAUCCAUUGUGUUUUUGAUGGGAGUGCACAUCCUGCCAUUCUUCGAGAAAGAUGUUGGAAGGAAGGCACAUAUCAAUCUUUAUCUGCUUUUCAGCUCCUUCACUUUGGAAAACCAUUUUUUCCCCUUUUGAAGGUGAAAGAAUACAAGGGAUUUUCAAAAUUUGGUAUGGUUUGAAGAGUUGGAUUAAACUGGGAGAAGUGGAAUAAAUGGAAAUUGGAAAGUAUGAGGUAUGAUGUUUAGCCUUUUCUAACUUUAUUUUCUAUCACAUUUCAUUUCUUAGACCCACAUUGCCUGCAAUGCUUUGGGAUUUUUCCCGGGGGGGGGGAGGGGACAAAUGCUUAUAUCAUCUUCACUGUUGCCACUUACCAACGCUAUAGGAUUCGCCACUCUUAUUAUCUUUCUGCAAUGAGGACACAUUUACAUGGAUUCCUUUUGGAGUUGAGUAGGAAAUUCAGAGUUGACAUAUCUAAUAAGUGCUAACAUUCAUGGUCAAAAUCAUCAUACAAUCUUCCAACGUAGUGCUUAUAAGUUACUGUCACAUGUUAAAAUUUUUAAUAUUAUGUGCUUGUUUUUAAGCUUUUUUAACGAGAUAUAUGCAUUUAUUCACUGUUAAGAGUAUAGAUUUAUAUACCGACAGUAUGAAAUACAGACUCAUCAUCAUAAGCUUUGGUGACUUUCUCCCUAGCUGAUUACCAGAGUUUGAAGCAGAUAAGACGCAUAUAUUCACAGAAUAAAACGAACUUUUUACUUGCCAAUAAAUCUACCUAAUACUUUUCGUUUUCAUUUCAUUAAAUUCCUAUUUUUGGGGAUUUUUGGCAGAUAGAUUCCUAACUGCUGGGAAACCAGGCUACAAUCACUUACAGCUGUUGGUUUCAAUUAGAUGAGGCUAACAUCUCCAUCACCGGUGUAUAGAGGUAUCUUCGCCAUGUUCCUCGCAGGUUCAAGAUAGGUUUCAGGGAAGGUACUGAAGCAGCACCAAGAAAGAAGGUUGCAGCAGCUUCUGCUUAAAAGGCAAAUUGUAAUGGUGUGAGGUUUUGUUUUGGAUGAAGCCAUGUUUAUGAGGAAACAUUUAGUGAUAAAGAGUGAAAUUAUGUUCCAUUGGAUGCUUUAGCUGUUAUUUAGUUUUUAUUUGAAUGUAGCUGUCUUAAAUUUUGAACAAUUAUUGGAGCUGAUGUUUGACCUUUAAUUUCUUCAUUGUCUUUUUUUUUUUUUAACUUGAUCAAUUAUCUUGUUUCGUUAA